rnacentral:tRNA from 1 species
UAUAGCUCAGUUGGUUAGAGCAGCGGACUCAUAAUCCGUUGGUCGACAGUUCAAGUCUGUCUGGGCCCACCA